ensembl:rRNA 5S_rRNA 5S ribosomal RNA
GUCUACAGCCAUACCACCCUCGACGCGCCCAAUCUCAUCUGAUCUCGGAAGCUAAGCAGGGUUGGGCCUGGUUAGUACUUGGAUGGGAGACAAAGAGCAGGAAGGACAGGAAAGUUGGUACAUA